AGUGUUCUUAGAUCAAAAUGAUCGUAUUAAACAUCUCGUGCGGAUUAAACGUUUAUGGAAUUUUAUUUAAGCUACCAAUCAGGACAAACUACGUUUGUCAUAAGAAGAAGUGAAAAACGCAGGUUUCAAAAGUAAUAAAUUCUAACAAUAUGAUAAGACCAGGUAUAAUUGGAUACAUCUUAUUAAGUGUAGUUGUAUAUGCUCAUUCUCUGGACAAACUUGAGGUAAACGUUACUCAGGACAAGAAAUGUGGACAAACGCCGUGUCCAU